GUUUGCUAUAGGGGACAUAGCAGAAGUGUUCACAUUGCAACCCCUGUCAGGUAAUACCUGGUAAUGCCUGCAAAUUCUGCU
rnacentral:ribozyme from 1 species